CAUAGCGACUAUCGUGGCAUAUCAAUAAGCGGAGGAAAAGAAACUAACUAGGAUUCCCCUAGUAACGGCGAGUGAAGCGGGAAGAGCUCAAAUUUGAAAUCUUAAAGGUUUUCCCUUGACGAAUUGUAGUUUAAAGAAGUGUUUUCUGUUGAAGUUUCGGUAAAAGUUCUUUGGAAUAGGACAUCAUAGAGGGUGAGAAUCCCGUAUUUGACCAGUUACUUUCCAGCUGUGUGAUACACUUUCAAAGAGUCGGAUUGUUUGGGAAUGCAGUCCAAGAUGGGUGGUAAACUUCAUCUAAAGCUAAAUAUUGGCGAGAGACCGAUAGCGAACAAGUACCGUGAGGGAAAGAUGAAAAGAACUUUGAAAAGAGAGUUAAACAGUACGUGAAAUUGUCAAAAGGGAAGCGUUUGACACCAGUGUUGUUUAGUUGAAAAUCAAUUCAAUAAUUUGGGAUUUGGUAAGUAUUGACUUCAUCAGCUUGCUAGCUUUCUUGUCGAUUAUUGAAUGCACUUUUCAGUUAACAAGUCAACAUCAAUUUCUUUUGUUGUAAAAGGGUAAGAGGAAGGUGGCUUGACCUUCGGCGUAAGUGUUUAUAGCCUUUUACCUCUGCAGUCGGAGAGAUUGAGGUACUGCAGCGUAGACUCUUCGGGGUUAGAUACACUUGUGCUAAGCUAUAGCCUUGUAUAGACAACUUGUUGACUAUGCUCAGUCAUGUAGCUUACUCGCUUAUGCUAUUUUACCUACGCUUAGGAUGUUGAUAUGCAUGACUGAUAU
rnacentral:rRNA from 1 species